rnacentral:rRNA from 1 species
AUUGAACGCUGGCGGCAGGCCUAACACAUGCAAGUCGAGCGGAGCGGCGGACGGGCGAGUAAUGCCUAGGAAUCUGCCUGGUAGUGGGGGAUAACGUCCGGAAACGGGCGCUAAUACCGCAUACUAUCAGAUGAGCCUAGGUCGGAUUAGCUAGUUGGUGGGGUAAAGGCCUACCAAGGCGACGAUGCGUAAAUGGUCUGAGAGGAUAAUCAGUCACACUGGAACGGAGACACGGUCCAGACUCGUACGGGAGGCAGCGGGGGGGAGUAUUGGACAAUGGGCGAAAUCCUGAUCCAGCCAUGCCGCGUGUGUGAAGAAGGUCUUCGGAGUUUAAAGCACUUUAAGUUGGAAGGCGUUACCAACAGAAUAAGCACCGGCUAACUUCGUGCCAGCCGCCGCGGUAAUUC